rnacentral:rRNA from 1 species
GAUGAACGCUGGCGGCGUGCCUAAUACAUGCAAGUCGAGCGAACAGACGAGGAGCUUGCUCCUUUGACGUUAGCGGCGGACGGGUGAGUAACACGCGGAUAACCUACCUAUAAGACUGGGAUAACUUCGGGAAACCGGAGCUAAUACCGGAUAACAUGUUGAACCGCAUGGUUCAACAGUGAAAGACGGUUUUGCUGUCACUUAUAGAUGGAUCCGCGCCGCAUUAGCUAGUUGGUAAGGUAACGGCUUACCAAGGCAACGAUGCGUAGCCGACCUGAGAGGGUGAUCGGCCACACUGGAACUGAGACACGGUCCAGACUCCUACGGGAGGCAGCAGUAGGGAAUCUUCCGCAAUGGGCGAAAGCCUGACGGAGCAACGCCGCGUGAGUGAAGAAGGUCUUCGGAUCGUAAAACUCUGUUAUUAGGGAAGAACAAAUGUGUAAGUAACUAUGCACGUCUUGACGGUACCUAAUCAGAAAGCCACGGCUAACUACGUG